GAUGAACGCUGCCCGAAUGCUUAACACAUGCAAGUCUACUUGAACUUCGGUUUGGGUGGCGGACGGGUGAGUAACCCGUAAAGAACUUGCCUCACAGUUAGGGACAACAUUUGGAAACGAAUGCUAAUACCUGAUAUUAUGAUUUUAGGGCAUCCUAAGAUUAUGAAAGCUAUAUGCACUGUGAGAGAGCUUCCCGUCCCAUUAACUAUUUGGAGAGGUAACGGCUCACCAAGGCGAUGAUGGGUAGCCGGCCUGACAGGGUGAACGGCCACAAGGGGACUGAGACACGGCCCUUACUCCUACGGGAGGCACCUCUGGGGAAUAUUGGACAAUGGACCAAAAGUCUGAUCCAGCAAUUCUGUGUGCACGAUGACGUUUUUCCGAAUGUAAAGUGCUUUCCCUUGGGAAGAAAAAAAUGACGGUACCAACAGAAGAAGUGACGGCUAAAUACGUGCCACCAGCCGCGGUAAUACGUAUGUCACAAGCGUUAUCCGGAUUUAUUGGGCGUAAAGCGCGUCUAGGUGGUUAUGUAAGUCUGAUGUGAAAAUGCAUGGCUCAACUCUGUAUUGCGUUGGAAACUGCAUGACUAGAGUACUGGAGAGGUAAGCGGAACUACAAGUGUAGAGGUGAAAUUCGUACAUAUUUGUAGGAAUGCCGAUGGGGAAGCCAGCUUACUGGACAGAUACUGACGCUAAAGCGCGAAACGCGUGGGUAGCAAACACGAUUAUAUACCCUUGUAGUCCAAUGCCGAAUUUCCACAGUGUAUAUCAAGCUUAUCGAUAUCCGUCGAUCGUCGAUGGGGGGGUCUCGGUACCCAGCCUUCUGCUACCGUUAGUGGGGGGUUCACUACUUGGUUCCCUAUAGGGGAAGGCUACUGCCGCAAUAUAAUGAUUCGAUAGACGAUCGUGCAUACUG
rnacentral:rRNA from 1 species